GCCGAUAUUUGCAGGUUAAGAAAGAUGGCGGCUGAGAAGACCAGGUUGAAACAGCGGAGUCAUAAAAGCAGCAUCUUUAAAGAAGUCUGGUGAUGGGACAGCAGCAGCCAAGCCUAGACCUCCCUUUUGCCACCUCCUCCAUUCAAGGUGUUCCAAGCCAGCCAAUAGAUGAAUUCUCUCCAGCGUGUCCUGUGUGUACACCAGAGCCUGCUUCCAGUGGCCACAGUUUUAAAUCAUGCGCAUCCCAGAUAAGGUGUGAAGAGGAGGACUAUGACCUGCUGGAGAAGGAAGAGGAGGAGGAAGUGGGCGUGCCCCAGCCUGUGCAGAUUGUAGUGGCAAAUGAGGAGCAGCAUUCAUUCUUCCUGCAGGAGCAGGUGCUGGAGCGGCUGCUGCUGCAGAAGAAGGUCCAGGACCUCCAUGUGGUUGUCGUCUCUGUGGCUGGAGCUUUUCGCAAGGGCAAAUCCUUCCUGCUCGACUUUAUGCUUCGUUACAUGUACAAACAGUCAUCUGAUUCGUGGCUCGGUGGUGAGGAGGAACCUCUGACCGGCUUCACCUGGCGGGGUGGUUGUGAACGGGAGACCACGGGCAUCCAGGCGUGGAGCGAUGUGUUUGUAAUGGAGAAACCAGAUCACAGCAAGGUUGCAGUUCUGCUAAUAGACACGCAGGGGGCAUUUGACAGCCAGUCUACCGUUAAAGACUGUGCCACACUAUUUGCCUUGAGCACCAUGACCAGCUCUGUGCAGGUGUACAACCUUUCCCAGAAUGUUCAGGAAGAUGACCUUCAGCAUCUCCAGCUCUUCACUGAAUAUGGACGACUGGCCAUGGAGGAAGUCUAUGAGAAACCCUUUCAGAGACUGAUGUUCCUAAUCAGAGAUUGGAGUUACCCUUAUGAACAUCCAUAUGGCCUGGAGGGAGGGCGGAGCUUCUUGGAUAAACGAUUGCAGGUGAAACAGAACCAACACGAGGAGCUCCAGAAUGUCCGCAGACACAUCCACUCCUGCUUCUCCAAAAUCAGCUGUUUCUUGUUGCCUCACCCUGGCCUCAAGGUGGCCACCAAUCCUCAUUUCGAUGGGCGGCUCACAGAUAUUGAUGGGGACUUCAAGAAGGAGCUGGUGAACCUCGUUCCAGCGCUGCUUGCUCCAGAAAAUCUAGUGGAAAAAGAGAUUGGAGGAGUCAAAAUUACCUGCAGAGACCUGCUGCACUAUUUCAAAGCCUACAUGAAGAUCUAUCAGGGAGAGAAACUCCCUCAUCCCAAGUCAAUGCUCCAGGCAACAGCUGAAGCAAAUAACCUUGCAGCUGUAGCAGGAUCCAAAGACGUAUACAACAAAAGCAUGGAGCAGAUCUGUGGUGGGGACAAACCAUACAUUUCCCCAGCAGAGUUAGAGCGCCGUCAUGUGGAGCUACGGCAGGCUUCCGUGCGGUACUUCCGCUCUGUCAAGAAGAUGGGCGGAGAAGAUUUCUGCCGCCGCUACCAGGAGCAGCUGGAGGCAGAACUUGAUGAGGCCUAUGCCAACUUCAGCAAGCAGAAUGAUGGAAAGAACAUCUUCUACGCUGCACGGACGCCCGCCACACUCUUUGCUGUCAUGUUUGUCAUGUACAUAGUGUCAGUUGUCACUGGCUUUGUGGGCAUUAGCUCUGUGGCCACGCUGUGCAACCUGGUGAUGGGAUUGGCUCUGACAGCACUCUGCAUCUGGGCCUAUGUUAAAUACUCUGGAGAGUUUCGCGAGGUCGGAGGAUUCAUUGACCAGGUGGCUGGAACCCUCUGGGAACAGAGGACUCCACGAAAGUUAGGUCCUGGGGCCAGCAGCCCAAGCAAAAAAGUGUAGACGACCUUUGCCAGCCACCUCCUCCAGCUUAUCUGGGAGAACACCGCAGCAUUCCCAAACCAGUCAACAGAUGUAAUCUCUUCAGCGUGUCCCGCGGUCUGUUUUCGAUGUGAAGGAGAUCUUCUCCAAAGUCUUUGAGGUGGCCCGAAGUCGAGUCCUGUUUGGAAGCUUUAUCCCAACAUCACGGCCCCGGCUCACCUCCAACAACAACAUCAAGAAGAAAAAUUAGCAGCACACCAUGUUUUCCCUGUCAUGUUGGGGUUUUUUCCUCUCCUUCUCUCUCUUCCCUUUUCCUGUCACAUCCACCUUCUGCUCUGUUUUAAAACAACGAUUUGAAAUGUAUAAAUAGGUUGGUUUUUUGGAUAUAGAUGAUGGUUCCUCGCCAUGCUGGCUGUGGGUUUAAGGGCACACUGUAGUUCUGGACAGAGUGGUAUGAUGUAUUUUAUUCUCAACGAGGGUUAUGAUUCUUAGUGUGGGUGGCCAUUCUUACACCAUUAUACCAGGUGUGGUUACCUGUCAAAUAAUGACUGCACAUUAUUAAUCCCCGUUUAUCUGAAUGUAUGUAUGAAAAGCAUGUCACCAGACCCUCCUCACUUCUCUCUUUGCAGUACUUCCUCUUGUCUUCAUCAAGUUUCUGUGUCGCUGGGCGGCAAUACAAAUAGUUUUUACAACCAAAGUUUACAGCGUUACUCGUAGAAACUCUCUUAGUGUUUCUUGUGACUCUGCUGAACAUAUAUCAGCCAUAAAAACUUUAAAUCCACAUUAUGUAGGGUCUAUACAAUAAAUUAACCCUGUGUCGUGACAUGGACGAACAUGAUUUCAGGUCAGGGCUCCAACCAGUUCUCUUCAUUAUUAAGUGAUUUUUAAAGUCUUACUUCAGUUGAACCUUUUCCGAAAAAGAUGGAAAUAACAGUUAUGCAGCAAUUUGUUUGGUUUUUUGUUUUUGUUAUUUUCUGAGCUUAAGAAAUGAUUUUAAUUUUAUUAUCAAGCUAGUUCAGAUAGUAAUCUAUAGUUACCUUAAUUAGUUUGUCUGGAUCUGGGAAAGAGCUGAAAGUAAAGGAAGCAAAAUUUUGAUAAAACCAGCUCAGCACUUAAGUAUUCACCUUAGUAGAAUGAUCUGCAGAUCUGACAAAAGACAGUGUCUGUCAGUUCUUUUGGGUUUUUUUUUUUUACUGUUUUAAGUGGAUUAUGACUUGACGUGUUUACCUCCAGAUACUCUUUAUUUUUAAUACUCGGCUUUGUCAGAGUCAUGCUUGCUUUCCAACAGCAAGAUAUGAGGUAUCAGACUCAUGUAUGUUUGCAGUACAGAGUAGCAUAGAGCGACCAAAAUAUUUGUUCAACAGAUCUGAGACAUUUCCAGCUCUCUACUUGACCUACCAAGAAAGAUGUCUUACUAAAUGUUCAGCUAUUAAGUUUAUCUAUGUCUGGAUCUCCACCUUCCCUACAUUUUUUGCUAAUUGGUCCUCUUAACCUGACUGCCAGUAUUUGAGUAAAACUUUAAUUUUUUGUGUAGCUCAGGUUAGCGAUGUAGAGUAUUUUUAUUAUUUAGUUUUGGGGUUUUUUAUUAUUAAAUUUAAGCACUCUUCCCUUCAUCAUUCCUCGUUGUCCUCUUUAUCUUGGCAGAUCUGAUGGACUGAGUCAGCUCCUCUUGUUUCUAAACCACCCAAGACCACAUAGUAAAACACCAAAAAAUGUAAUUGUUUGCCAUUCAAUCUGUUGCAUCGCAUAUAUGUAACACGACACUUUGUGGGUCCAGAUUGGUGGGUCCAGUGUUUGUAUUUUCAAAGCCAAAAUCUGUAAAUUGAAUGGCAGGUUCA